rnacentral:tRNA from 2 species
GCUUCCAUAGCUCAGCUAGGUAGAGCGCUUCCAUGGUAAGGAAGAGGUCGCCGGUUCAAGUCCGGCUGGAAGCU